AAAAAAAAAAGUAAAAAAAAAGGCAAAACCAAGUUAAAGAAUCGAAACCAUCAGCAGUUCAACACCGCCCAAAUUUCUUUCCCACGUUCUCCAUCUUCCUCCUUCUCCCACCACGACUUCCACAGUUAGGGAUUGAAGAGUUCAUUUUCCCAAAUCCAAAAUGACAGAGUUCCCUUCAAUCCAAAUCUAGAGUUUUUUUUUUCGUAUUUUCAAUUCUUCUUCGGCGAACAUUUUUGGGCAGCGACGUAUUAUCUGGCGAACAUAUUUCCCGGCUGCGUGUGGUUGAAUUACAAAUUGAAAGCCUUUGAAUCACUCUUAAUCGUCUUGAAAUAUGCCAAAGAUUUUCUCAAAUGGGUCCAGGAUUCCAAUAAAUUUUAUCAGCAACACCUAGGUUUAGGAUGGUAAGCGGGGCAACGCUGAAGGAGGGGACUGAGCAAGGGAAGUUGAUUGAGCAGCUUUUCGAGGUGGAAGGCUUCUUAGUAUGAGUUGUCGAGUUCUACGCUUCCUUUGAAGGAAACAUCAGAAGAUCCUGCAAGUCAGGGGAAGAAGCAGUGGAUAGCUCGAUUUGUUGCAAUUGGGUUAGCUAUUGUCCUAGCAGUUCUUGUAGGAUCAUGUGUUUUUUUUUUUACUUUUUACUGAGAAGAAACCUUCAAGGUAACAGUAUCGAUUUGGUUAUUGUCCACAUAUUUCUUCAUUCGGGUUAUAUAGAAGCUUCAUAAUGUGCAAACUACAGAUUUUUGAGGAAUGAACAAUCCCUUGUUUGAUUUUGCUAGAAUUAUAACUUCUCUGAGAAACAUAAGCUAUGAGAUGGUGGUUUUGGCCCUGUCUUCAAGGGUGUCUUGAAAGACGGAACCAAAGUUGCUUCCAAACGGCUCUUUAAUACAUCUAAUCAAGGAACGGAUGAAUUUACAAAUGAAAUUCUGCUAAUCAUGAGGUUUUAACACAAGAAUUUGGCCAGGCUAUUGGGAUUUUGCGUAGAGAGAGCUGAAAGGCUGCUCAUCUAUGAACUUACGUCUUCUGGCGGCUUAGAUUCAUGGCUUUAUGAUCCACAGAACAGUGCACAGAUGACGUAGCCGGAGAAAACGACUUGACAUCAUCAAUGGGAUUGCUCAUGGAGUCCUUUAUCUGUACGAGGAUUCCCGACUGACAAUCAGAUAUCGAUACUUAAAUCCUAGCAAAAACUGUUGGAUUCAGAUUUCAGACCUGAAUCCUAAGAUUUCAGACUUUGGAAAUGCCAGAAUCUAUGGAGCUGAAACUGAAGCAAGCACUGCCACUAUAAUUUGGUACAUAGUAAGUUCUUUUACCAGCUUAUUUAUUCUGCAACCAUGUCCUUUCCCUUUCGGUUUUCCUGAAUAGAUGACUAAUGCUACAAAAGAGGAGAUGGCAUCAUACUUGAAGCGUGGGUCCAUUGCCGGUGCUACUGGAAGCACUAAUAUGAAUAGCCAGUCAAGGUACUUGCACACUAAUUUAAUUCCAAACCUUAAAGUUCAGUAAUUUUCAAACAUAUCCUGCUCGUUCCUGUCCACCUACAUUUUCCUCUGCCUCAAAAUGUUUUGCCUACCUUUGAAGUUUGUGAGUCACAACAGGGAAAUAUUUGGAGCGGAGGGAGUACUAAUAUUGUGGUUGUUUGCCUUACUUUUUCUAGAGAAGUCAGCGAAAUCCUUGCUGAGAUGUUAUGGUUUCUUAUUACUCCCUCUGUCCCAGAUUAGUUGUUACACUUUCCUUUUUCGUCCGUCCCAGAAUAGUUGUUACACUUCUAAAUUGGGAAUGACCCCACAAUUAUUAUAUUGUCUCUCUCUUGCCACUAAUUUUUUUUUGUCCCCACACCCUCUCACAUUAAAUUAAAAAAAUACCCCACUAACUCAUAUCACAUCUACUUUUUUAAUAAAAUAACACUUGAUAACCAAACAACCACUUAUCACCUAAAACUUUGUGCAAAGGUAAGUGUAACAACUAGUCUGGGACGGAGGGAGUAGAUUAAAAUAUUAUUUUCAGGUGAACCGAAGUUCUGUAAAGUUGGAUAUUUACAGGAGGUUCUCAAAUGCACUGGUUGUUUCAGUGAUUGCUUCAGUUGCAUGGAUAGUAUGCGAGGUAUGUUUUUUUUCUAAAUUGAAAUCCAAAGGUGGAAUACGUGCUAAUAGUAGUACUAGAAUAUACUUUAAGCCUUGUAAUACUUUCUUGGAUGCAGUACAAGAUUACAAGUAGCAAAACGAUAUAAUAAUAAAAGAAGAAUACUUGAAAGAGAACAAAGACUUAAGCUGUAGAGCACUCUUUGAAAGAUGCAGUAGUCUUAACUAGUUUUCAUAUUUCGUAUAGCAUACACGUAAGAAGAGGGGCCUUCAAACGAAAUCAUGGGGAUGUCAAGAGUAAAACAUGGCCAUUGUAGGAGAAAUGAUAUUUUUUAUGGCCAGGAGCUUUAGUAAUUAGAUUUUUUCCUAGAAAAUAGUUGAUACUCUUAAAAGGAGUCAUUUAGAAUGUCUUUUGUAUUUAAUUAUCACAUGAAAAAAAUAGAGAAACAUUGAUCAUAUUUUAAUUUGGGUCAUAGAAGGGGUGAUCUAUAAUAAAAAUAUAUGUCCUUUUUGCUACUGUGUUUCCCGUGUGUUGGCUAACAUUUAUUUUUGACUUGUCCUUUUGGCCAUGCAGUUUGGCCAACAAGCAACGGGCGAAGUUUGAGUUAGUCACUCAUUUUUAUUGGUGUAUUUCAAGGCUACAUAUCCUUUUAAUGAGCGGUAGCAGAGUGCUUAAGUUAUCACUGUCUUUUGGGACAUUCUGGCAUUUGCAGUGCUAUGUAUAAUUUGCUAUCUAUGGACUCCAUCUCUGAGCUCUCAAAGACUCGGAGCUCAGGGCGAACGAACCAAGGAAAAAGGCUUUGCAAAUCGUGGAAUUGAGGUACUGCUGGGGACCCCGGAAACGAGUAGUGGCGAGAAUUUCACCAUUACAAUGUUCACCUAAGUUAAUGUUAAGUUGUAACAAGUUUAAGUAAAGAUUCUUGAUUAAGUUACGUACUUUUAUUAAGGAAUUAAAAAGGAUUAUUAUGUUAAUUUUGGAGUUUAAUAGCUUAUGAUUGAUGGUUACCUGGUAAUUCCCAAGAGGGAGUUACGGCAGGUAAUGUCCCGACCGAAUUAGGUUGUUUCCGCUGCUAAUUAUGCUUUAAUAAUUGAAUUAGAGGUCGGGGCUUUACAGAUUAUGUUUAUUAUAUUUUUUAUUUGUUUCUAAGUAUUUAUAAAUAAUUGGUUUUACUUUGCUUGUGUAGUGUCCUUGGCAAAAGAAUGCAAUGGAUUCUGGAUAUUAUGUCAUGAGAUACAUGAAAGAGAUCAUCGACUAUAAGCAAACUCGAAUAUUUGAAGAUUACUUUCAUGAUUGCAAUGUUCCAAAUUAUUAUAAAGGACAAAUUGAUGAAGUCAGAGCUCAAUGGAAGCGUUAUGUUCUUCUCGUGUGAAUAUUGUAGUGGAUUAAUUAUGUUUUUCGACUGGAAUUUCUCUAGAAUGUUUUAAUUUUAGUUUAUCGGUUUGAAAUUAAAAGAAGUACUAUAUGACAAGGAUACUUCUUUCUGUUUUCUAGUGUGUUUUUAGGCACAUAUGAUUUUAAGUUAUGCAUGAGACAUCGAGACGUUUAUUUUAUAUGAUAGAAAUGAAGUUGGAUCUUAUAUAUAUUCAAUUUGAUUA